UACGAAGGGUGCAAGCGUUACUCGGAAUUACUGGGCGUAAAGCGUGCGUAGGCGGUCUGUUGUGUCGGAUGUGAAAGCCCUGGGCUCAACCUGGGAAUUGCAUUCGAAACUGGCAGGCUAGAGUUCGAUAGAGGGUCGCGGAAUUCCCGGUGUAGCGGUGAAAUGCGUAGAGAUCGGGAGGAACAUCAGUGGCGAAGGCGGCGACCUGGAUCAGAACUGACGCUGAGGCACGAAAGCGUGGGGAGCAAACAGGAUUAGAAACCCCCGUAGUCC
rnacentral:rRNA from 1 species